GCUUUUGAUACUCAACAGGAUCACGAAGGCGCCAUCAUGAUGGCUUCCUUGUCCCAGUGCGCCCAUUCCUCUCCAGUCGCUAGGAUAGCCGAUGGCUCCAACGUUUCUUCUGAGAUCUCCACGCUUCGACAACGAAUCGACGUCGAUAUGCUGUUGGGAACUCAGUUGGAACUAAGUUGACUGUAUGCAGGUUGGACGUUGACUUGUGAGUCAAGUAUGAGAGAGUUCAGAACCGAUAGAACUGCAAUCUAUAGCCUACGAUCGUCUUGAAAUCCUGAAGAAGUUGUGCUAUGCGGAUUGGACGAGUCUGCAUCUAACAAAUCUCAAAGCUGUUGGUCAAGCCUAUAGAAAUGGUAGGUUGAAAGUCGUGAAAGGCGCAGUAUCCCACUGGCAUAACGGACAGAUGAAGAUUGGCCCAACUCUGGGGAGUUGCUAAAAUGGAGAACAGAACACGGAGAGGGGGGACAUUGGAUACGUUUCAAUCUGCCAUUUUGGGGCCUGCAAAUAAAUUUGGCAUUGAAAACUAAAAUUCCAGGUCUGCACCGGUUUCCCAACUUGCUUCUCUUUCUGUUUAUAUAGUUUCUAUAUGCGCAAGAGUAAUUUCAAAACCUUACUCUGGCGUACGUUAAAGCACC
rnacentral:sRNA from 1 species